rnacentral:snRNA from 1 species
GGAUGUGAGGGCGAUCUGGCUGCGACAUCUGUCACCCCAUUGAGCGCCAGGGUUGAUUCGGCUGAUCUGGCUGGUUAGGCAGGUGUCCCCUUCCUCCCUCACUGCUCCAUGUGCAUCCCUUCCCAAGCUUUGCACUCCGUUGAAGAAGACGGCCUUCCCCAAUAGAGACCAGUCUUCGGUCUGUCCAGGAUACAAGAGUAGCUGCGUUCCCCUGCUAGAACCUCCAAACAAGCUCUCAAAUCUCUAUCUCCCCCAUCACACUGACUGAGUCUCCUUCCCCUCAGCCCCCUAACACACACACACACCUUUUGCAAGCAGUAUUUAACCUUUUAUG